UGCUCCAGAACAUGGAGGCUGAGCAGCAGCGCCGGGCCCAGGAGGCCCAGAGGCACAAGGAGUAUGACCCUCAAGGUCCAACAGCUGACCAGGGAGCAGCAGCAGUGUCACAAGGAGCUGCAACAGGCCUACUGUGAGCUUAGCCGGAGGAUCUCAGAGCACGACCAGUGUGAGUGGAGGUGCAUGGACAAGACCAAGCUCACGCUGCAGGCCAUCAAGGACACAGAGGCCCAGGUGGACAGGCUGCGGCAGGAGGCCCAGAAGGCCGAGGAGGCGCUGGCUAUGGCCAGGCUGGAGCUUCGGGAGCAGACGCAGGAGGGGGAGGAAGAGGCGCCUGGGCUGAAGUGCCAGGUCACCGAGCUGCACGAUGUGCUGAUGAAAGAUGUAGGCAACCGCAUCCGUGCCGAUGGCCGGUGGCCUCUUGUUAUUGACCCUUUGGGCCAGGCGGCCACCUUCCUGCGCUACCAGGAUACCAACUAUGUGGACACGGUGAACCCGGAGCCCCUGAGGCCGGAGACGAUGUGGCUGGCUCUGCUGGGGGCUCUGCGGUAUGGGAAGCCGCUGGUGUUCGACCUGCGAGAGGAAGACCUGUUCCCAGUCGUGCAGCGGCAGCUGGAGGCGGUGCAGGAGAGGUACCUGUCGCUGCUGCGGCCCACGG
rnacentral:misc_RNA from 1 species